CCCAGCCAUGGAUGAUCCUGGAUGGCAAAGCAUAAGAAGAACCUGAGAAACUAAAGAACACAUAAAAAAUGAUGUGUCUAAUUAGCAUGCACGGCAGAAUGUCCCAAAUAAAUGGAGAAACUGUAUGUCAAACUGCAUAUGCAACUAUCCAAUUGCCUGUGCAGUUAUUCAGACUCUAUUCAAAGGUCUGUGCACACCUCUGCCUGCUAAUCCUUAGCUGGAAUGUAGAUAACAAUAUCAGUAUAUCAUAUGGACUGGGAAUAGAAGAACCAAGACAUCAAGCCACCUGUCCCUGCAAUAUCUCCCACAGAUCUAUGCUCCCCACUCCACUGCCAGUGCUGUGGUCCUCGGCAAGAGUUUCUGCCCUUCGGCUGCUGCAGAAGAUAGCUUGAGGAAAACUCUGAAGGAUGUCUGAUUGCAUUCCAGUUCUUCUCUACCAAAAGAUGUAUCUACUCUUCAACAUAGCUACCGCUCCGGACAGACAUCUUUGCUUCUCCUUGGCUGACUUAGAGAACCGAUUUCUUUUUUCAGACACCUUCUUUAAAAACUUCCUUUCUGUUCAUUUGGGAUUUUGCCAUCUUCUCCAAAAAGGAAACAGGGCCUCAGACCAUUCACUUUCUCUGUCUGCACUCCCUCUUUGCUGAGUAGAUCAGCAUCACUUUUUGUAAUCUUAACAAGAACCACAGUUUUGUCCCUUUCUUCCACAGUUCCCUUCUUCUUCCUGAGACAUUUCAAAUAAAGCUGACAGCU